AUUGAACGCUGGCGGCAGGCUUAACACAUGCAAGUCGAACGAGUGGCGGACGGGUGAGUAAUGCUUGGGAAUCUAGCUUAUGGAGGGGGAUAACUACGGGAAACUUUAGCUAAUACCGCGUACCAUAGUAUGAGCCCAAGUGGGAUUAGCUAGUAGGUGGGGUAAAGGCUCACCUAGGAGACGAUCUCUAGCUGGUAUGCGGGGAUGAUCAUCCACACUGGGACUGGGACACGGCCCAGACUCCUACGGGAGGCAGAAGGGGGUAAUAUGGCACAAUGGGAGCAAGCCUGAGGCAGCCAUGCCGCGUGUAUGAAGAAGGCCUGAGGGUUGUAAAGGACUUUCAGCGGGGAGGCGUUACCCGCAGAAGAAGCACCGGCUAACUCCGUGCCAGCAGCCGCAGUAAGUC
rnacentral:rRNA from 1 species